GAUGAACGCUGGCGGCGUGCCUAAUACAUGCAAGUCGAGCGAACGGACGAGAAGCUUGCUUCUCUGAUGUUAGCGGCGGACGGGUGAGUAACACGUGGAUAACCUACCUAUAAGACCGGGAUAACUUCGGGAAACCGGAGCUAAUACCGAAUAAUAUUUUGAACCGCAUGGUUCAAAAGUGAAAGACGGUCUUGCUGUCACUUAUAGAUGGAUCCGCGCUGCAUUAGCUAGUUGGUAAGGUAACGGCUUACCAAGGCAACGAUGCAUAGCCGACCUGAGAGGGUGAUCGGCCACACUGGAACUGAGACACGGUCCAGACUCCUACGGGAGGCAGCAGUAGGGAAUCUUCCGCAAUGGGCGAAAGCCUGACGGAGCAACGCCGCGUGAGUGAUGAAGGUCUUCGGAUCGUAAAACUCUGUUAUUAGGGAAGAACAUAUGUGUAAGUAACUGUGCACAUCUUGACGGUACCUAAUCAAAAAGCCACGGCUAACUACGUG
rnacentral:rRNA from 1 species